rnacentral:rRNA from 1 species
UAGGGAAUCUUCGGCAAUGGACGAAAGUCUGACCGAGCAACGCCGCGUGAGUGAAGAAGGUUUUCGGAUCGUAAAACUCUGUUGUUAGAGAAGAACAAGGACGUUAGUAACUGAACGUCCCCUGACGGUAUCUAACCAGAAAGCCACGGCUAACUACGUGCCAGCAGCCGCGGUAAUACGUAGGUGGCAAGCGUUGUCCGGAUUUAUUGGGCGUAAAGCGAGCGCAGGCGGUUUCUUAAGUCUGAUGUGAAAGCCCCCGGCUCAACCGGGGAGGGUCAUUGGAAACUGGGAGACUUGAGUGCAGAAGAGGAGAGUGGAAUUCCAUGUGUAGCGGUGAAAUGCGUAGAUAUAUGGAGGAACAACAGUGGCGAAGGCGGCUCUCUGGUCUGUACCUGACGCUGAGGCUAGAAAGCGUGGGGAGCAAACAGG